GCUUGUGCUCAGCUGCACGGUCCUGGCCCUCAAGUGCGCCGAGGGCGGUGAGAGAGCUCAACUCCUGCCACCCAUCACUCCCCGGGUGAGGGAUGCCCCAGGCUGGGGGUGGCCGGGUGGGAGCUCGUCGCUGCGUGGCCCGUGCGCGGUCCUGGAAUCUAUUCUCCUGGAGGCUCGCGUUCGCACCUCCUUCUUCGCUAUCCCCCUCCCACAGGCUUGCUCUGGAAACCACCUCUGCCUCCGACUAGGGCCGGACCCCCUUCGGGGCCAGGGUUCGCAGCCGUGGAUGUGCCUGCCUCGUGGCUUGCCCGAUUUGCACGGUGACUUGAUUACACGCUCGCAUUCAUGGUCACUUCCGAAGCGCUUUAGUGCCUUCCGUCCCUAAACCGCCAACAACCAGGGCGGCUUCCCCCGCGGUUUGUCAGGCAUCUGCAGGUCCCGGAAGGGCCUUCGUCUUACCCGGGAUCCACCUCCACUUCAUUCUCCCCGCCGGCCUCCUCACUCCACCCCCUGCCCUUGGAGAACCCCCCACCCCCUCCUCCCCGCUGCCUGCCGGGGUUCGGAGUCGCCCGGCAGAGCCGGAGGCUGUGGGGGCUGCGCCACGGUGCACGGGUCCGCCCGCCUGCCUGGUCUCAUGGAGCUGAGGACCCGGGAAGCCGUGCGGUUGAGGCGAGCCUUGGGCUGCUUUAGGGGCGCUGACAGCCGAGGAGCGUUUUCCUGGGUAUGCUGCACCUUCCGCGGGCUCAGCAGGCUGCCAGCGGAGCUUCAGAGCUGAGUGGGGGCAGUGAGGAGACGGCUAGGGACAGGGAGCCGUGGCUGAGAAAAGGGUAACAUGCUUCCUCUCCUUCCUGGCGAAGCGUGAGAGCCAGUGAUGUGCAGGGAGAAACUCAGAAGGCUCGGCGCCUUUUCUGCUACUCAUCCCACAGAAGAAACACAAUGCCAGAGGAAAGAGCGCUGCUUCCCAAACUCGCGGGACCGGGGGUGACAAGAACGCCUCGGAAAGGCUAGAUUUGAGCCCAAGGUAGAGACAGGGGCCAUAGCUGCUAGUAGGAGUCUUAGCUUUCUUGGGAAAAAGAAAGAAAAAAAUUAAGAUGGUGAAAAAUGCUUGCCAUCCUGCAGGAUUGAAUUAUCAACGUUUGGGAGAAGUGAAAGAGGGCAUAGGGCUGCCAGGCAGGACCACAGCUGGGAGGGGCCCAGCCCUGGGGCCUCCCCACACCUAUCUUCUUGGAAGGAGCUGGAUGUCGCUGAAGCAAAGUUGAAAAAUGAAAAAGGAUAACCUUUUCCCUUUCCCCAUCCAGGAAAUAGCUGAAGGUAUUUAUAUAUCUCGGGGAGAUUUAGAGUAUAAACUCUAAGAUCUUUGGUAUUUAAGUGUCAACAUCGAUUUAUUUAUUUAUUGCUGAGCUGACUGUAACUGACUCAAUAACAAAUCUAAUCAUGUAUUGCACUGGAAAAGAACUAUUCUCAUUAUGUGUUUUCUCCAAAUGAUGGCCCACCGUUGCAUUUGAAUACCUGCUGUAAAUAUCAAUAAUAUCGAGUAAUU
rnacentral:lncRNA from 1 species